rnacentral:rRNA from 1 species
UACGUAGGGGGCAAGCGUUGUCCGGAUUUAUUGGGCGUAAAGCGCGCGCAGGCGGUGAGUUAAGUUGUGGGUAUAAGGCAUUGGCUCAACCAAUGUACGCCUGCAAAACUGGCUCGCUUGAGUGCAAGGAGAGGAGAGUGGAAUUCCCGGUGUAGCGGUGGAAUGCGUAGAUAUCGGGAGGAACACCAGUGGCGAAGGCGACUCUCUGGCCUGUAACUGACGCUGAGGCGCGAAAGCGUGGGUAGCGAACAGG